rnacentral:rRNA from 1 species
UACGUAGGGUGCGAGAGUUAAUCGGAAUUACUGGGCGUAAAGCGUAAGCGGGCGGCUGCGCAAGACAGAUGUGAAAUCCCCGGGCCUAACCUGGGAACUGCAUUUGUGACUGCGCAGCUCGAGUCCGUCAGAGGGGGGUGGAAUUCCACGUGUAGCAGUGAAAUGCGUAGAGAUGUGGAGGAACACCGAUGGCGAAGGCAGCCCCCUGGGAUGAGACUGACGCUCAGGUACGAAAGCGUGGGGAGCAAACAGG